AAAAGGAAGAAGCAGCCGCGGAGACAGAAAGACAGAAAGACGUGAAAUGAUCUGAGAGCGCUGAGUGUGUGAACGUGGGACAAGAGGAAACACGGGACGGGACGAGAGACGCUCAGACUCUGGGAGGGUUUCCUGAACACCGUGAAUCAGCGACGCUUCGGACCAGAACAACCACGUCUGUAACAUCAGCAUCACUGGGAAUGUUCUUCAUGCAUCCAACCAUGUGUGCACAUUUUGACCAGACAUGCAAACGUUCCCAAAGACUUCCCCCGGUAACAUAUGGGAUUAAACUGGACAACAUUCAGUGACCAGGCGAUGUAUUGAGAUGUGUAACAGAUGCAGGUCUCUGAGGACGGGUUUUAUCUACCAGAUCCCAGCGGUCGGCCCUGCUAUCGUGGACAAUGACCCUAAAGAGUGUCAACAGCUCAUUUCCACCAGAGCCGGGGUUUGUGUGCAUGUGUGUGUGAGACAGAUCUAGAUACAGAAAGAAGAACGUAAACUCAAAAGCUGAAAGCUUCAUGUGAUUGAUAUUAAAACGUUUCUGCAACACUCGCAGUUCUAUAUCCAACAAAUCAGCGAACAGAGGUUUGAGUUAAACGUUCUGUCUCAGUUUAACUCUGAGUGGAACUGCGACUGUUCAGAGAGAAUUUCAUUUGGGAAAAGAAAAAGGGCUGUUUGACAAUGUUUUUACAGCCAUAAACCAUCAAUAGAAAUUAUCUGGCAACUAGUUUUACACCUAAUUUGACCAUUUAAAAAAAAAAAAAUCUAUAUUUAAGAAGUAAUUCCAAGCAAUGGGUGGUUUCCACUUCCUCUUUAGAUUUGCUGCUUUAAUUGUUUUAUAUUGUUGGAGGGCUAAAUGGAAAAGAUGUUCUGUUUUGCUUAAUGGCGACUGAGUGAAUCAUGGAGAAUUUAAUAUUCAUUGGCUUCAUGUGUUUGUUAUUUUCCUCUAAUUGAUUAAAGGACGUGUAUCAGCCAA